UGCGCAGGCGGUUAUAUAAGACAGAUGUGAAAUCCCCGGGCUCAACCUGGGACCUGCAUUUGUGACUGUAUAGCUAGAGUACGGUAGAGGGGGAUGGAAUUCCGCGUGUAGCAGUGAAAUGCGUAGAUAUGCGGAGGAACACCGAUGGCGAAGGCAAUCCCCUGGACCUGUACUGACGCUCAUGCACGAAGCGUGGGGAGCAAACA
rnacentral:rRNA from 1 species